UACGGAAGGCAGCAGUGGGGAAUAUUGCACAAUGGGCGAAAGCCUGAUGCAGCUAUGCCGCGUGUAUGAAGAAGGCCUUAGGGUUGUAAAGUACUUUCAUCGGGGAGGAAAAACAAAACUAAUAAUUUUAUUUCUUGACGUUACCCGAAAAAGAAGCACCGGCUAACUCCGUGCCAGCAGCCGCGGUAAUACGGAGGGUGCUAGCGUUAAUCAGAAUUACUGGGCGUAAAGAGCACGUAGGUGGUUUUUUUAAAGUCAGAUGUGAAAUUCCCUGGGCUUAACCUGGAAACUGCAUUUUGAAACUGAAAUACUAGAGUAUCGUAGAGGGAGGUAGAAUUCUAGGUGUAGCGGUGAAAUGCGUAGAUAUCUGGAGGAAUACCUGUGGCGAAAAGCGGCCUCCUAAACGAAUACUGACACUGAGGUGCGAAAAGCGUGGGGAGCAAAACAGGGAUUAGGAUACC
rnacentral:rRNA from 1 species